GGUGAGGUGCGAGAGUGGUUGAAUCGGGCGGUCUCGAAAACCGUUGUACCCUUUGGGUACCGUGGGUUCGAAUCCCACCCUCACCGCCA
rnacentral:tRNA from 1 species